CUAUUAGCAUCAUGAAACCCACUGCUGAAUGCACCCUCUUGAUUACAGUGCAUGUUAUUUAGACUCCAGCUUACGAUGGGAAAAUAAAGCUCUGACGGGGAAAGUCACUACUGGUGGCAGACAUGCUGAACAGGACAUACCUUCCUGAGCACAACACAGAUGGCACUGCAGAACAAGAGAGAAAGUCUAUCAGCAUGCUACAUUACCUUCGCAUCUGGGAAGCUCCAGGCAAUCCAGCAAGGCACUGAAGAGGAUCGGGUGCUGCAGGCAGGAAAACUGCGUAAUCCGAGGAUAGCCAGAGAAAAUGACACAGGAAGAUACCUUCCUGCCUAUCUGGCAUGAUAAACCACAGUGAAAACAAAGAUCCUGGCAAGGACAAAUUUAGGCUGCAUUUAUAAUUGCAGGUAAGCUUUAUCUUGAGAGAGAUGUUGAACCCAGCCUCAAACUGAGCUUAAUUGAGUCUAAUGAACAGAUUUCACCAGUAGCUAAGUGCCCAUACAAUUGCUUGAUCACUGUCUCCUUCCAUUUAAGCACUUGAACAGGCUUCCCCAGGGCAGUGGUUGUUGCACAAAGCCGGCUAGAGUUCAAGAAACAUUUGGACCACAACCCAUGCAGUUUGAAUUUUGUGUGGUCCUUUGUGAAACUGUGAGGUGACUUGUGGGUCCCUCUCAACUUAGAAUGUUCUAUGAAUCUGUGAUUUAUUUUAUCUCAGAUUGUUAUCUUGCCCCUUUCCAUAAACAAACAAUAGUAAGGCAACAUAAAACAACAAUUUUGCAUCAAGAAAAGGCAACAUAUUUAAUUUUAUAUAUAUUUUGCUGAUUGCUACUUCUGCAUUUAUUGUGACACUUGAGAGACUUCAGUCUUGGGAAUAAAGGGUAGUUUGAUAGACA
rnacentral:lncRNA from 1 species